GUGCAUGCUUCGACAUCACAGGCACUAAAAUUGGAACAAUAUGGAGAUUAGCAUGGCCCCUGUGCAAGGAUGACAUGCAAAUUCAUGAAGCAUUCCAUACUUAA
rnacentral:snRNA from 1 species